rnacentral:rRNA from 1 species
AUGGUACCACCAAAACAAGUGUGGAGGCCAAAGCAAAAGGAAAACAUGGCAGCUUCUGUGUUGAUCAUAGCAGCACCUACACCACCAACGGAGGAUGAUGCGGCUACUAUUACAUCGUCCACUUUGCCUACUACUUCCUCUUCACUUGGAGAUAUUUCAGAGUCAGUGGACAUGCUUGAGGAAGAAGAUGAAAUGCUUGAUUAUGAGUCUACACCGGUUCAUGAAGGUAUGGAUAUUAAUAUGGUGUAUUACUUACCCGCUGAAUUUUGUGCUAUAGAUGAAGAAGGGGAAGUAGCUCAGCUAGAUUUUGGUCCUAAACAUGCUAUAUUCGAGAAACCAAAAGAACCGGUGACGCACUUGAAGACAUUGUUCCUUAAAGGUCAUAUUAAUGGAUCACCAGUUGCUAGAAUGCUUGUCAAUGUUGGUGCUGUGGUGAAUCUUAUGCCAUAUUCGGUCUUCAAAAAAUUGGGGCUGCGUGAUGAAGAGUUAAUAAAGACCAACAUGGUGCUUAAUGGAUUUGAAGGCAAAGAGAAAACUGAAGCCAAAGGUGUAAUGUAUGUGGAGCUUACAGUGGGAAGCAAAACUUUGGCUACCACAUUCUUUGUCGCCGAGGUGCAAGGAAACUACAAUGUGAUAUUAGGUCGCGAUUGGGUUCAUGCAAACCAAUGCGUGCCAUCUACUAUGCACCAGUUUUUAAUUCAGUGGGUUGAUGAUGAAGUAGAAGUCAUUCAUGUGGAUAAUUCGGCUUGUGUUGCUUUGGCCGAUGCAUUGGUGGAUUGGCAACAUCCCAAUGCUACUUGCUUGAUGGGGUGCGACUUAUCAGAAUAUGAUUUUCUUAGCGCCACAAAAAGUGGUUUCGUGCCUGUUUAUUUAAAGCCGGUUGGCAAUAAUCGGCUCCAAGGUAUGAUGUAUUUAAACGGAUCCUAA